GAGUGAAAUGAUGCUUUACCAUCUUUCGGGACUUACCCAUUAAUGGGGAUAACCUUUUUCCAACUGAUCACUC